rnacentral:piRNA from 1 species
GAUAUUUCUUCUGGAUAAUGCGG